AAAUUGUAAUCACUUGACGGCAAUAAAUUGUGUUUUUGUGAUCAUAUUUCGUAAAUUCUUAAAAUUGAUAAAAAAAUACGAGGAAAGGUGGUUUUUAUUUUCAGGAUUACAUAAACUAAGAAGGUUUUAGACUACGUUUUAAAAUAGAGAGUAGCUGUUGUCUGAAAAAUACGAGACAUGAAGAUCUUAACAGACCUAAAUGAAAUAAAAGAACUCGAGAGACCUAACGUCCACAUACGGAAUAAGGAUGAACUGCUGAGAAAAAUAAAUCAAAUUAUACGUGAUGGCCCUGAGAAACUACAGAUAGUUACAGAUUUUGAUCAUACAUUGACGAGGCAUAAUAUGGAUAAUGGCAAGAUAGUACUAACUAGUUUUGGCAUGUUCCGAGAAUGUCCAUCAGUACCACAACAGUACAAGGAUGAAGAACUAAGACUGGCGGAGAAGUACAAGCCCAUUGAAGUUGACCCUGUGAUGAGUGUAGAGGAGAAAACUAAACAUAUGGUUGCCUGGUAUUUGGCUGCACACAAGUUACUGAAAGGUGUAAAAUUCCCAAGAAAUGAACUUAUUGAAGUGGGACAGAAAAUGGUCGAAUGUUUUAGGACGGGUGUUUCGGAGCUGAUCGCGUGGAGCUCGCGGCAGGCGGUGCCGGUGCUGGUGUUCUCGGCCGGGCUGGGCGACAGCGUGGUGGCCGCGCUCAGCGCUGCCAGCUUUCUGCGGCCCCACGUUAAAGUAAUUUCAAACUUCCUCGCGUUGGACGAAAACGACUCAGUGAUCGGAAUCGCAGGGGACGUGAUCCACACGUACAACAAGAACGAGGCGGCCAUAAAGGGCACGGAAUACUACGAAAUGGUCAAAACGCGUAACAACGUUCUCUUACUGGGGGAUAACAUCGGCGACGCGGGGAUGGCGGAAGGGAUGGAGCAUUGUGACGUCAUCGUCAAGAUAGGCUUCCUAGGCCGCAACACGGAGGCUAACCUACAAAACUACACCAACAAAUUCGAUAUAGUCUUGGUUAAUGAGCACACUAUGGACGUAGCUAAUGCAAUUUUGAAACUAGUGCUGUGAAUUUUUACUAGGUAAUUAAUCUAGCGUUGUUGUUCAAUUAAUUUUUUUUUUUUUUACUCAAUUUGAGUAUACAUGUUAAAAUUGUUAUAAUGAUUUGCUCAGGUCAUAAUAAUUAGUCAUAGAGCGUAGCUAAAGCUAUUAUUAUUAUUAUUGAUUUAUUUCCAUGUCUUGCACGAAAAAAAUUUGGCAGGUCCCAACCAAAUAUACUUUAAGUAUUUGUUUUGCAAAAAUUUAUAAUAUUAUUUCGAGUUACGAUUUUAUUCGUCCGCGUCCGGGUAAAAUAGAGGUCCUUGUUUAAAAUUAAAGUCACCAUUUUUUUUCGCUAAAUUGAGUGAGUUGUGUUAUUAUAUGGAAAAACUCGACGCUCAAAUUUCGUUUUCCUGCAAGACAAGAUGAAAACGUUAAAUUGCAAUGCAAUUUUUUUUUAAUAAUAUACAAUAUAUUAAAGUUCCGAUGCUUUUAUGAUUAUAAAUGUGAUUGGAAAAUUGUUUUUAUGCUAAUUAAUGUAGUUAGGGAACUUCUAACAUUCUGCUCGGUAAACAUUAAUUUUACGUUAGUGCCAAUUUGGUUGUACAAAAAUCACCAAACUAAACCUCCAUCCACAAGAAGUUAGUGUGAGGAUCUCUCUGUUACGUGUAUUCAAAUGACAGGGACGAAAAUCUCAGUGGGUGUUAACAAUUUUGAUCCACCAACCAAUCGCAAACAUAACUUUGUUUACGAAUCGAAUGUUUUUUGAAAACAUGUUUGUGAUUGGUUGGUGAGUCAAUAUGCUUAACAAAGCCCUCUGAGAUUUUCGUUUCUGUCAUUUAUAUGGGAUUAUUAUGUAACAGAGAGAGAUUUUUACUUUUUUCCGUGGAUAGAGUAUAGUAUAAGAUGAAACCACUAUUUUUCGGUUAUCAUCGUCUUUUCAAUGAAGUUUAGAAGUUUUUUAAUUCAAUGCAGUUUAGAGGUUUUUGCACUACCAAAAUAUACCAUUGUGUAUUUAAUAUUUUGAUGAAAAAUGGUUUGUGUCUUAACAUAUCUGGAAUCUCCAAUACUAACAAAUUAUAUCAUACUCAAAAGACCUCAACACUAGCCAAAUAAUAUUACGAUUAAUUUAGCCAAUAAGGUUAUCUAAGGCGCGCUUUAUACAGAAGUGUCGAGGCGCAGAUAUGUCCGCUUCAUUAUUCGAUUCGGCGCCGAUUCUGAUGUUUUUCUCUAGACUAAAUUUAAAGUAUCUGCAUCUUUUUCUUUUUAAUAUUGCUACAGUAGGACGGAAGAUGAAUUAUAAAUUAAAUACCAUAAAUUUUAGUGCUACUAAACAAUACUUAGGCUCACGACUGACAUCUAGUCAUGAGAUUUGACAGUUUUAUAUUAAAUUAAGUUUGUCUGUCUUUUUCUUAUAAAAUUGGUAAGAAAAAGACGAGAAUACUUUAAAAUUUAGUUGCGAUCAGAAUCAGUACCAUUUGCCGUAUGAAGUUUGAAAUAUCGACGUGGGUGCGAAUGGCGUCACCGCCAUGCCAAGUCUUUGAAUUUAUAUUAUUGUUAAAUUAGCGAAACGAUUAACGCCUUUAUGCUAACGCAUAAAGUACGAAUGCGUCACUGCUAAAGACGUUACAGGCGUGUUCUUAAACUUGGUAGCUAGUCAGCCAAACGAAAACAGAGACUGGAAAAGCGCGGUAUGUUCAAAAUUAACAGACCUGACUUAUUUUGAUACUUUACAAUUCCUUUAUUUGAAUUUCUGUUCUGUCAAAAUAGGUUAUUCCAGGUCUAUUUAUUGGGGCUGCCAUACUGAUUAACAUAUUGUUUUGAAUUAGCCGCGCUUUUCCAGUCUAGUAGGCCAGAUUCUAAUAGCUAUCCUUUGCAUAAAAACACGUCUUGUUUGCAGUAACGUUUAUUAGCAACUUUUGGAAUACUUCAUUAUAAUAAUGCUGUAUGAACGGACCAAUAUUAUAUUUCCGUCGCUUGCCACUUCUGUUUAAAUAGCAACUACUUUGAAAAGUUUUCAGGGCGGAAAAUAAAACAAGUUUUGUAAUGAAAUUAAAUAUUUUGUUAUUAUUAUUAUAAAACAACACCUAUGAAUAUAAAUGUAUUUUCUAGUCACCACAGUGCUUGUUUCUGCGUUGUCUUCAUACACACUAAAUGCGGGCGCAUCCGUACAUCGCGUCCGCGUCCAUACAAUAAAAUACUAUAAUUAUUACCAAACCUUUUAAUCUGAAUUUGCAACUUUCGUUUGACUGUGCACAGUGACUCGCAAGUGUUGGUAGGCAUAAAGUUUGGUUUACAUAACAUCUUAAGUCUGCAAGUCCGAAUCUGUCAUUUUAAAAGCUACUCGUAUUUGUAACUAGUGUUGGGGAUAGCGAGUUUGAAUCCCGAGCAGAUUCAUAGGGACUAGUUCCUUUUCUAGGAGAUACUUGAUCUUAAACCAAUGAAAAAUAAUACGAGGUACGGAUGUCGGAUGCAUAUAACUAAGAAAACAGGGCAAGUAUAGUUUGAUUCAAUCUUUUUAGCGACUGAGAAGUAAGCUGUAAGGAAAGACUAAUGGAAAAUAUGUCUCUGUGACUAACUUCUCGAUCGCCAAUAAGUUUAAAUCAUACUUAUAUUAAAUAAUAUUUGCCAUUAUACGUUUUAAAAACGUCUAAAAUGCAGGAAGAUCGAUUUCAAACGACUACAGCUUUCCAUGAAAGUUAAAAAUGCACUGUCGUUAUUCUAGUCAAGCAAGGCGAAUCAAGCUCAAUAUCACGGUGCAACCAGUGACUGACAAACCACUAUGCAUGAUCUGUACCCUCAGUAUGAGAUUUUACUUCUCACCAACGUUGAUAGUACAUAUUUUAGAGUCGAAACACUAGCUUUUAAGUAAAAUGGUCCUUAACUGCCUUGAUUCUAUUAACGGUGAGAUUUAAAAUCUUAUACCAAGGCUUCUGAUCCGAAUCCUUGAACAACGGUUCUUCGACUCAAUUUAUCGGACCAUUGCACAAGCAGUCGUAUCGCUCAUUCUUCGUGGCACGUAUUGUUCCACGAGUUGAUAAAAAUAGCGAAACUAUUCGUUGAUAGGACUAGGCGAAUUAAUUUAAAAUACUGUUUGAUUACACGCUUUUUAUAAUACAAAACGGUAACUAACAUAAUAUUCUGAACACUGAAAGUAUAGCUUUUUUUACAAUUAAAUGCCUAAAAUAUAGUUUAAAAUGUUUGAAAAAAAAAAAAAACGAAAAAAUGCAUUGUUUUUACUAUAGUUUACUUGAUUAUGGCAAAUUAAAUCAUUGGUUUCUUGUUACCUCAGACUAUAAAAAGAUAUGAUUUUACACGAGACAUCCAACUGUGGUCGGUGUAUGCCUGACUCGUUCCGAACGCCGCCCGCAGUCUUCGGCAUGAUUAAGGAUGGGUUCGAAACUACUCUAUCCGCGGCAAGAACUUAGUAUAGCACCUGUUACGUAAUCCCAUACAAAUGAUAGAGACAAAAAUCUCAGUGGACGUUAACCAUUUUUAGUCACCAACCAAUCACAAACGAAGCUAUGUUUACGAAUUGAAUUUGGAAUGUUUUCAAUGUGACUCAAUAUAGUUAUUAUAGCACACUGAGAUUUACAUUUCUUCACAAACAAACAUACUUCCAAAAACAUUAGAACGUUGGUGACUCGAAGCGCCCACAGAUUUUUGCCUGUAUCAUUUGUAUGGAAUUACGUGACAGAGAAAAUUAUUGCUCUACUAACUUCUUUCCGCGAAUAGAAUAUAGCUCUUAUAUUUACCGCCCAAGUUUAGCCGUAGUAAGUUCUACAAAAUAUAUUCUACAUAAUAUAUAUCUCAAUCUAUAGUCCGAGUUUACAUUAAAUCGCGCUAAUGCGUAUUAAAGUAUCACUAUGUUAUUUGACGUCUAAAAAUUAUAAUUUGUUGCUAGACUAUAAACAAAUAAAUCAUUAUUAAUAGUGUCAAAAAUCGGCAUAACCAAAUCCCCUCGCGUCCUAAUGGCUCUCGCUUAGGUAUAGGGUAUAUUAUGGUCAGACAUUAAGACAAAUUACUACCUCAUUGUAACUAGACAUAGAUUUACUAUUUAAAUUUUAAAUACAUAUUGUCAAAUAUUUGUGAUGCAGAUAUUGUGAGAUAUGCCAAUUUUUGAACACUCGUCAAAUAUCUGUUAAAAUAUCAAAGUUCAUAAUUAAUUACAUGAUUUGAAUUACUAUGAAAUAUAUUGUAACAGUUUUAUUACAAGUUUUGAUUUACAGCCACUUUGGAAGAAGGACCUUUAACUUUCAUUAGAAACGAUAACACAUUAGCCGCUAAGCGGAAUUUGUGGAGAUCGCGCUUAGACUAUAAACUUCGAUUAGCCAGGCUAGUCAUACGGAUAUCAGUUAAUCCAAGCGCUAUAUUACCGACGAACUAGGCGAGUAUGAACGCGCUUUAGGGAUUACUCCCGUUAGACCGUGCGGGCUUGAGCGCGGUCAAAAGCCACAUUAGACCGUGCCAUAUUCGAGUCUUCCGAGCCCUGUCCAAAUUACAUUUCUUCGUGUAAAAUUCCAAUCCAUGAAUGGUUCGCGCAUCGAAGUGGCAUGGUCUAACGUGAAAUCGUACAGACUGCCGUAUAGUUUGUUUCAGAAGAACCGAAUGGGCUGCAGGAAUGGCGAUACGUCAGUGCUUGUGUAUGCGCUUGUACUGGUCUUACCUACAAUCCGCGAAAGUGAAAGGUGACGGAAUUAACCAAUGCGGCCGUGGGUAUAGAUGCUCGAAAUCAAUGAAUCACCCACUGCGCAGGUACAAGCUCUGCUCUUUUCACGUGAAACGAACUAUACGUAGCGAUCAUUUAGCGGCAGGUGCCAGAGUCCACGCGCACUGUUGUAGCAAACGACUCUACUUUCCAACAAGCGGGUCUUAAUGUUCAAUAUUAUAAUUAUUAUUAUGGCAAGAUGCCCAGACACUACAGCGAAGUAUCAAUAUGACUGGAAAAUACAUAUUUCAUCGAUACCCUAUUUAGUAAUUACUUUUUAACUAAACUCAACAAAUUAAAAGCUCUAAAAUAAACAACAGUCUUAGAACAUACAAAGUAUAUUUACACAAAUAUUUUAUUUAGGUAUAUAAAAAUAUCCUACUGUACAUAUAACAAUUAUCCAUUGUAGAAAUAUAUAUAUUUUUAAUGUAUGUACAACUAGAAACAGUAUUAAAAAUAGUCAAAUCUUUAGGAAUCAUCUAGAGUCUAGACAUAGGCAGAGUCGUGAGCGGGAAAUACACUGGUCGCUUGUAGGCAAGGCACUUUGUAAUACUUGUUAAUCGAGCUUUUGUACGCUAUUUGUAUUCUUGUAACUCCAAUAAAACAAGCUGAUAACAAUGUAUUUUAUUUUAUCCUUAAUAUUUUCCUACAGAACGAGACGGCAUGCCGCAUAAAAAUAAGGGUUAGAACUUAGAAGGAAAUGGAAUGUGAUAUUUUUUGAACACAUCGCAACAAGUGUAUUUCUCACAUUCUGAACCAAAUCGAAUAACUUCUGAAAAAUAUAAACGACAAUAUCUCAAAUCGAAUAAUGCCCUCAUGUUAAUCGAUUAUCAACAAGAUAUUACAAAGAACUACUUACCUAAUGAAAAUAUUAUCAGUGAUUCGAAAGGCGCCAGAAAGUACAUUGAGUUUAAAAACUACCUCAAAGAUUAAAUAGGUAACCGUAGAUACGUCAUACAUUCAGAAGUUAUAAGUUAAGGCGAGAUGAGGAUGCCUAAACGCGUUCAGUCUCCGACAAGGCAAGUACGCUACAAGCUAUGACACGAAGGAAGCCAGAUUGUCUAGUUCACACGAGCUCAUACAAAAAUACCUCACUCUACAGUCAAGGUUACAAUCUCUAUCACACAAACAUAAAUGAACACGAAAGAACGCAGCGGUUUCUGAAACCACUGUGCAGAGCCUCGAGUAAUUUUUUGCGUCAAAACUUAAGUGAGAAGUUUUGUAUACUCAAAAACUACCUCAAGGCUUAAUUAGGGCUAAGUGUACACGACCGCAGCCUUUUAUUUGAAAACGAAUGUAGUAUUAAUGGUUAUAUGAUCACAAAUAUAGUAAACUGGUCGAUGAGUUUAAAGAUUUUAAACAUAACCAUAAAUGAAAGCUGGAUUCCUGAACACUAAUAUCUUUAUUUGCAAAAAUUAUGGGUGUAAGGUUACUUUUCUGAUUGUAAUUUUUGUAAGCAGUAUAACUCAUAUUCAUUCUAACCAUUGAAGUAAGUAACUAUUUCAAAGGCUUAUUAAACAUAGUUGAAUGCUCGAAUAUUCAAAUAGCAUCAAUAUACUCGAGUUGACGUUUCAAUAAUACUGAAUUGAAUAAGACUUUGAGGUCAACAAAACCGGCAGAUCUCUGUGAAACUCAGUCCUUGCAUACAACAGGCUAUUUAUCUAGGUACCUAUUAGUAAUGCAUUUCCACUCUGCGUUUAUUUACCAAUAGCAUGCCAGUAAUAAACGUAGAUGGAGUAGAAUUAGAAUUAAAUAAAUUAAACCAAAGGAUUAAAUAUAGACAGUAAAGCGAGACACCAUAAUGUCGUCUGAGAAGAGACUAUGCCUCUAGUAUGAACACAUCUCGAAUAGUUUGCGUCAGUUAUAAUAAAGUUAGUAAGCUGAGUGAUUACCGAGCUCUCUCUAUGGUCUCGAUAUCAAUUUUCAUUUUCUAAUUUCAAUCUCGUACUAGGGGUGUGUGUCAUUGUCACAUUACAGAUCCGAGGCUCUUCAUCUUUCUAAAUUAAUAACAAUUCAAAUUAAGCUUCAUUUCCUUUACCACAAGGACAGCACGCGGUUUUCCAUGUUUUCUCUUCGGUAUAUCAUUUUCAACCAUAUGUCAAAGGUCAUAAGGCUAAGAUUAGGUAGAUAUCAAAAAGACCCCACUACUCCGUCGGUAUACGUCAUGUCAGCCAUUAUGAAUACAUAUUUUGUUCGCGAAAUCUGUCUAUAUUUUUCCUCAAGUAUGUAAA